ACAUGCAAGUCGAGCGAAGCGGAUGCAAGUGCUUGCACUUCUGACGUUAGCGGCGAACGGGUGAGUAACACGUAAGGAAUCUACCUAUAAGCGGGGGAUAACAUUCGGAAACGGGUGCUAAUACCGCAUAAUAUCUUCUUCCGCAUGGAAGAAGAUUGAAAGACGGCUCUGCUGUCACUUAUAGAUGACCUUGCGGUGCAUUAGUUAGUUGGUGGGGUAACGGCCUACCAAGACGAUGAUGCAUAGCCGACCUGAGAGGGUGAUCGGCCACAUUGGGACUGAGACACGGCCCAAACUCCUACGGGAGGCAGCAGUAGGGAAUCUUCCGCAAUGGGCGAAAGCCUGACGGAGCAAUGCCGCGUGAGUGAAGAAGGCCUUCGGGUCGUAAAACUCUGUUAUAAGAGAAGAACAAAUUGUAGAGUAACUGCUACAGUCUUGACGGUAUCUUAUCAGAAAGCCACGGCUAACUACGUGCCAGCAGCCGCGGUAAUACGUAGGUGGCAAGCGUUGUCCGGAUUUAUUGGGCGUAAAGGGAGCGCAGGUGGUUUCUUAAGUCUGAUGUGAAAGCCCACGGCUUAACCGUGGAGGGUCAUUGGAAACUGGGAAACUUGAGUACAGAAGAGGAAUGUGGAACUCCAUGUGUAGCGGUGGAAUGCGUAGAUAUAUGGAAGAACACCAGUGGCGAAGGCGACAUUCUGGUCUGUUACUGACACUGAGGCUCGAAAGCGUGGGGAGCAAACAGGAUUAGAUACCCUGGUAGUCCACGCCGUAAACGAUGAGUGCUAGGUGUUGGAGGGUUUCCGCCCUUCAGUGCCGCAGUUAACGCAUUAAGCACUCCGCCUGGGGAGUACGACCGCAAGGUUGAAACUCAAAGGAAUUGACGGGGACCCGCACAAGCGGUGGAGCAUGUGGUUAAUUCGAAGCAACGGCGAAGAAACCUUACAAGUCUUGAACAUCCUUUGACCAACUCUAGAAAUAAGGGCUUUCCUUUCGGGACAAAGUGACCAGGUGGUGCAUGGUUGUC
rnacentral:rRNA from 1 species